UGGGGAAUAUUGCACAAUGGGGGAAACCCUGAUGCAGCGACGCCGCGUGAGCGAAGAAGGCUUUCGAGUCGUAAAGCUCUGUCCUAUGAGAAGAUAAUGACGGUAUCAUAGGAGGAAGCCCUGGCUAAAUACGUGCCAGCAGCCGCGGUAAUACGUAUGGGGCGAGCGUUGUCCGGAAUUAUUGGGCGUAAAGCGAGCGCAGGCGGUUAGAAAAGUCUGAAGUGAAAGGCAGUGGCUCAACCAUUGUAGGCUUUGGAAACUGUUUAACUUGAGUGCAGAAGGGGAGAGUGGAAUUCCAUGUGUAGCGGUGAAAUGCGUAGAUAUAUGGAGGAACACCGGUGGCGAAAGCGGCUCUCUGGUCUGUAACUGACGCUGAGGCUCGAAAGCGUGGGGAGCGAACAGG
rnacentral:rRNA from 1 species